rnacentral:rRNA from 1 species
AAUAGAUACCCGGGUAGUCCACGCCGUAAACGUUGGAUACUAGGUGUGGCGUCCCGAUCAACGGAUGCCGUGCCGAAGCUAACGCAUUAAGUAUCCCGCCUGGGGAGUACGGCCGCAAGGCUAAAACUCAAAGGAAUUGACGGGUCCCCGCACAAGCGGCGGAGCAUGCGGCUUAAUUCGAUGCAACCCGAAGAACCUUACCUGGGUUUGAAAUCAUGGGAAAAGCUGUAGAAAUACAGUGUCCGUAAGGGCCCAUGACAGGUGGUGCAUGGCUGUCGUCAGCUCGUGUCGUGAGAUGUUGGGUUAAGUCCCGCAACGAGCGCAACCCUUGUCCUAUGUUGCCAGCGGUUCGGCCGGGGACUCAUAGGAGACUGCCGGGGAUAACUCGGAGGAAGGUGAGGACGACGUCAAGUCAUCAUGCCCCUUAUAUCCAGGGCUGCACGCAUGCUACAAUGGUCGGUACAACGGGCAGCGACCCCGCGAGGGUGAGCGAAUCCCACAAAGCCGGCCUCAGUUCGGAUUGGAGU